rnacentral:rRNA from 1 species
ACAACGGAUUCUUGGCUCUCGCAUCGAUGAAGAACGCAGCGAAAUGCGAUAAGUAAUGUGAAUAACUUUCAAUCCCGAAAUCGAACUUAAGGGGCCGAGUUGAGUGUUGCCGGCUGUCAAGGUCGGCUCGCUCUGAAUGCAUUGCGCGGCCAGUUGCAGAAUAGUGAAUCUUGAACGCACCUUGUGCCUUUUUGGCAUGCUACUUUGAGCCACCUACCCGUGGCCGGCUAGACGUCGAUCGUGAUAACUCAUCGACGACGUUCGAUUCAUUUGGUCGCUUCUAACGUCCGCAAGGACAAUCCACGAAGCGCUAGGCAUCAAAGUAGUAGGACUACCCGCUGAACUUAAGCAUACAAUAAGCGGAGGAAAAGAAACUAACAAGGAUUCCCCUAGUAACUGCGAGUGAAGCGGGAAAAGCUCAAAUUUGAAAUCCUUUUGGGAAUGCAGCUCAAAACGGGUGGUAAACUCCAUCUAAAGCUAAAUAUUGGCGAGAGACCGAUAGCGAACAACGGGAGUUGUAAUCUGUAGAAGUGUUUUCGGCCGCAGCCUCGGACAAGUCCCUUGGAACAGGGCGUCAUAGAGGGUGAGAAUCCCGUGCUUGCCGAGCUCCCUGCGUCUAUGUGAUACACUUUCAAAGAGUCGAGUUGUGUAGCGCUUGAAGUCAUCGCGUUUGCAGAGCCGUGAGGGAAAGAUGAAAAGCACUUUGGAAAGAGAGUUAAACAGUACGUGAAAUUGUUGAAAGGGAAACUCAGCCUCACGGCGCAUUUCUUUGUGAACGGGCCAACAUCAGUUUUGGCCGCGGGAAAAGGACCUGGGGAAUGUGGCAACCUCGGUUGUGUUAUAGCCUCUUGUCGUACACCGCGGCCGGGACUGAGGACUGCUGUUUUACAGGAUGUUGGCGUAAUGGCUUUAAGCGACCCGUCUUGAAACACGGACCAAGGAGUCUAACAUGUCUGCGAGUGUUCGGGUGUCAAACCCGUGCGCGUAAUGAA